rnacentral:rRNA from 1 species
UACGGAGGGUGCAAGCGUUAUCCGGAUUCACUGGGUUUAAAGGGUGCGUAGGCGGGCAUGUAAGUCCGUGGUGAAAUCUCCGAGCUUAACUCGGAAACUGCCAUGGAUACUAUGUGUCUUGAAUACUGUGGAGGUCAGCGGAAUAUGUCAUGUAGCGGUGAAAUACUUAGAUAUGACAUAGAACACCAAUUGCGAAGGCAGCUGGCUACACAAAUAUUGACACUGAGGCACGAAAGCGUGGGGAUCAAACAGG